UACAGAGGUCCCAAGCGUUGUUCGGAAUUACUGGGCGUAAAGCGCACGUAGGCGGCUUUGUAAGUUAGAGGUGAAAGCCUGGAGCUCAACUCCAGAAUUGCCUUUAAGACUGCAUCGCUUGAAUCAUGGAGAGGCGGGUGGAAUUCCGAGUGUAGAGGUGAAAUUCGUAGAUAUUCGGAAGAACACCAGUGGCGAAGGCGGCCCGCUGGACAUGUAUUGACGCUGAGGUGCGAAAGCGUGGGGAGCAAACAGG
rnacentral:rRNA from 1 species